GACGAACGCUGGCGGCGUGCCUAAUACAUGCAAGUAGGACGCAGUUGCGAACGGGUGAGUAACGCGUAGGUAACUACCUAUUAGAGGGGGAUAACUAUUGGAAACGAUAGCUAAUACCGCAUACUAGUAGAUGGAACUGCGUUGUAUUAGCUAGUAGGAAGGGGAAUGGCCUACCUAGGCAACGAUACAUAGCCGACCUGAUAUGGUUGUCGGCCAAACUGUGACUGAGACACGGCCCGGACUCCUACGGUAGGCAGCAGUAGGGAAUCUUCGGAAAUGGGGGGAACCCGGACCGAGCAACGCCGCGUGAGUGAAGAAGGUUUUCGGAUCGUAAAGCUCUGUUGUUAAGGAAGCGGUACUUAACCAGAAAGGGACGGCGAACUCCGUGCCAGCAGCCGCGGUAAUUC
rnacentral:rRNA from 1 species